UACUUUUUUUUUUUUUUUUUUUUUUUUUUUUUUUUUUUUUUUUUUUUUUUUUGCUCGGUGCGUGU
rnacentral:ribozyme from 13 species